UACGGAGGGGACUAGCGUUGUUCGGAAUUACUGGGCGUAAAGCGCACGUAGGCGGAUUUGUAAGUCAGGGGUGAAAUCCCGAGGCUCAACCUCGGAACUGCCUUUGAUACUGCAAAUCUCGAGUCCGGAAGAGGUGAGUGGAAUUCCUAGUGUAGAGGUGAAAUUCGUAGAUAUUGGGAAGAACACCGGUGGCGAAGGCGGCGACCUGGUCCGAUACUGACGCUGAGGCGCGAAAGCGUGGGGAGCAAACAGG
rnacentral:rRNA from 1 species